AACUCUGGAGAGAGACCGGCUGCGGCCGGUCCACCGACGGGGCAAGCUUGACUCGGGGUCAUUUCCCAUUUCAGGUCCAUCUCUCAGGUACCGGACAGAGGAGG
rnacentral:ncRNA from 1 species